rnacentral:rRNA from 1 species
UCCGUAGGUGAACCUGCGGAAGGAUCAUUGGGAUGUGGGGGGGUGAGGUGAGAGUUGGAACGGAGAGUAACAAAUAAUCAAUUACUACACACACACAAACACGACUGCUGACAAUGGAUCUCUGGGCUCUUGCGUCGAUGAAGAACGCAGCAAAACGCGAAAUGUGUUAUGAAGUGCAGUCUUUGUGAAUCAUGAAUCUUUGAACGCACCUUGCACCACUAGCGAUAGUGGUAUGUCUGUUUGAGGGAGGGAAGAUUGUGGAUUUACGAUCUGGAAUGGGGUGUGUGCAUUAGUGUACUGCCUUUAAACACAUUUCAAUCAAGUGAUUGGGAUAAUCCAUCAAGCACUUACCAGUAUACCUCCUCAAAUCAGGCAAGAUGACCCGCUGAACUUAA